UAGUUAUCUACAAAACAGUAAAUGUGAUUUAAUGGUUUAUUGUGAAAGAAGGAUAUGUGCGCGCGUACGCGUGAAGUGUAUUUUUAAGCCUGCUUGAUAUAUAAAAUAAAAAAAUAAACUUUAAACUUUGAAUUAUAAUUGGUUUGCAGUACUUACAGUGUAUCGAGGAAGCAUGUAUAAUAUCUUAAUUAGAUACAUUUAUAAUACAGGGUGUAUAGUUGUUGUUUAUAGAUUACGAAAUACUGAAUAUAUUCUGAAUAAAGUUAAGUCGUAGCUGAAGAUAUUGAUGGAUCUUAGUUAUAAAACGCUAUCGAUUCUUCAAAUUAGCUCUGAUGCUACAUAUUAUGUACAUGUGAAAAAGAGUUUUUACAUGUAAUACAUAUAACAUAUGGAUAUUUAUUAUCUUCCACUCUCUCACGCUAGCCCUAUCUGAUACUCAAUGAUAAUAGUGUAAAAUCAUAAUUUUUUUACCUGGCAGAUAAUAGCAGUCAUGAGAACUGUCGAGAUUAAAAUAAAUUGAAGUUGGACUAGUUUUGAUUGUUGAAACGGCCAUAGUGCAGUACUUUGCAAAAGAAUUCUAUUCAGAUUAAAAUACGGCGCUUCGAGACAGAUCAUGCCAGUGCAACGUUCAAAAUACAUGUGACUGCGAAAAGGAAAGAGGCGCAUAUCCCCUCUUUCUUUAUCGAUUGAACAAAUGCUGCCUCUUCUUAUUCUUUUUUUUCUAGUAUAAUUUAGGAGGUGAAUUUAUCCAAUUCGGUGUAAUUUAUGUAUCGACUAUAAAAUAUAUGCAAUAGUGAAGUAGGAGUUCGUAUAAUGUGUAAAGUACUAUAGCGUGUACUGUUAAACAAUCGAUUCAGCAAUGCAUAAAAUGUAACAGCUGCUUUAUCUCAUGAAA